GCGGCGUGCUUAACACAUGCAAGUCGAACGAUGAUGCCUGCAACUUGUUGUGGGUGGAUUAGUGGCGAACGGGUGAGUAAUACGUGAGUAACCUGCCCUCCUUUUUGGGAUAAGCCUUGGAAACGGGGUCUAAUACCGAAUAUUCUGGAUGAUUCGCAUGGAUUGUUUGGGAAAGCUUUUGUGAAGGGGGAUGGGCUCGCGGCCUAUCAGCUUGUUGGUGGGGUGAUGGCCUACCAAGGCGGUGACGGGUAGCCGGCCUGAGAGGGUGACCGGCCACAUUGGGACUGAGAUACGGCCCAGACUCCUACGGGAGGCAGCAGUGGGGGAUAUUGCACAAUGGGCGAAAGCCUGAUGCAGCGACGCCGCGUGGGGGAUGAAGGCUUUCGGGUUGUAAACCUCUUUCGCUAUCGAACAAGGCUCACUUUUUGGUGGGUUGAGGGUAGGUGGAGAAGAAGC
rnacentral:rRNA from 1 species